rnacentral:rRNA from 1 species
AACGAACGCUGGCGGCAGGCCUAACACAUGCAAGUCGAGCGGACCUUUCGGGGUCAGCGGCGGCCGGGUGAGUAACGCGUGGGAAUAUGCCCUUCUCUACGGCAUAGUCCUGGGAAACUGGUGGUAAUACCGUAUACGCACUCUGGGGGAAAGAUGUAUCGGGGAAGGAUUAGCCCGCGUGGGAUUAGGUAGUUGGUGGGGUAAUGGCCUACCAAGCCGACGAUCCAUAGCUGGUUUGAGAGGAUGAUCAGCCACACUGGGACUGAGACACGGCCCAGACUCCUACGGGAGGCAGCAGUGGGGAAUCUUAGAGAAUGGGGGCAAUCCUGAUCUAGCCAGGCCGCGUGAGUGAUGAAGGCGUUAGGGUUGGAAAGCGCUUUUAGCUGGGAAGAUAAUGACGGUACCAGGAGAAGAAGCCCCGGCUAACUACGUG